UAGGGCGUCCGACGAGACAAAAAAAAUCGGACACCCUCCGCACGACCGCACCGCUGCUAAUCCUUAUCUGCUGCGGUGGCCCGUGGACCCGUGACCCUCUAGCUCCCUCGUUCUUUCCGUCUUCGACAUCGCUCCUCUCCCUCUCCUCCUGAAUUUUUUUCCCCUCUCUCCUAGUGCCAUGGCUCCACAGAUCCUUCCAUGGCAGAUCCACCGCAUGCUGGCUAGUGCCCUCGCCCCCGCCCUGUAGCAAGCUGCCGCACCCACGUGAGUGACGCCUCGCGUCCACUGCAGCUCCUCUCCUCCAUUGCUCAGGCCACCAAGGAUUGGAAGACUACAGUGCCAACCUCCCCGAAGAGCUUCUGAGCCCACGCCUUCGGCCUCCCCGGCUCCAACGACUGAAAGCACCGCUUCGCGUCGAGGCCUCGUCGCACUAAACUCCACCCUCCCUCGCCUCCUCGCGCACUUCACUGACGUGCCCAAGCUCGCGACCAAGUGCGAGAUGACCCGGCCCUCAAGCUCAAUAUUUGGACGUUGCAACACUCUGAAUGAGAUGUUCCGUGUAUUUGCUUCAUUUGUGUUCAGCUACCCUUUUUUCUCUUGUUGGGGGAUUUGUUUAUAUCAUGAAUGUUGCAAUGGGUUGAUUUGAAUGUCGUGAACACAGAUUCUAUUUGUUUCAAUUACAGAAACUGUACAGAUUUGAUAAUAUGUCGAUGUUGCCAAAGGUAAUUUAUAAUUGUUUCAUCAAUGUAUUCCAAAUGUUGCAGUGCUAAUUUGGUAUGUCCUUGUGCUUUCCGAGUGUUGCAAUAGUUCAUUCCGUUUGUUGCAGUCAUGGUUUACAUAUGUUUCAUAUUUCCUACUUCAAAUAUUCAUGUU
rnacentral:lncRNA from 1 species